rnacentral:rRNA from 1 species
AGCAGCCGCGGUAAUUCCAGCUCCAAUAGCGUAUAUUAAAGUUGUUGCAGUUAAAAGGCUCGUAGUUGAAUUUCGGGAUCAAUUUAUUGGUCGUGCAAUAGUACGUACUGGUAUUAUUGGUUCCUACCUUCUGAUGAACCAUGAUGUCAUUAAUUUGGUGUUAUGGGGAAUCAGGACUGUUACUUUGAAAAAUUAGAGUGUUUAAAGCAGGCUCACGCUUGAAUACAUUAGCAUGGAAUAAUGAAAUAGGACGUUUGAUUCUAUUUUGUUGGUUUCUAGGAUCGACGUAAUGAUUAAUAGGGAUAGUUGGGGGCAUUAGUAUUCAAUUGUCAGAGGUGAAAUUCUUGGAUUUUAUUGAAGACUAACUACUGCGAAAGCAUUUGCCAAGGAUGCUUUCAUUAAUCAAGAACGAAAGUUAGGGGAUCGAAGACGAUCAGAUACCGUCGUAGUCUUAACCAUAAACUAUGCCGACUAGGGAUCGGAUGAUGUUAAUUUUUAAUGA